rnacentral:rRNA from 1 species
UACGGAGGGUGCGAGCGUUGUCCGGAAUCACUGGGCGUAAAGGGCGCGUAGGCGGCUCAUGAAGGCUGUGGUGAAAGUCCGGGGCUCAACCUCGGAUCGGCCGUGGCGACUCGUGGGCUGGAGCACUGUAGAGGCGGGUGGAAUUCCCGGUGUAGUGGUGGAAUGCGUAGAUAUCGGGGGGAACACCAGUGGCGAAGGCGGUUGCCUGGAGCUUUGCUGACGCUGAUGCGCGAAAGCGUGGGGAGCGAUCCGG